UAAAAAAAAACAUUUCUCAACCAGCUAUUGCAAGGAAUUUAGGGAUUUCACCAUAUACUGUCUGUAAUAUCAUCACAAGGUUCAGAGAAUCUGGAGAAAUCACUGCACGUAAGCAGCAAGGCUAAAAGCCAACAUUAAAUGCCGGUGAUUUUGGAUCCCUCAGGUGGUACUGCAUCAAAAAGCGACAUCCGUGUGUAAAGGAUAUCACCACAUGGGCUCAGGAACACUUCAGAAAACUGCUGUCAGUGUGCUGCAGUUCUCCUACCCGUCCAGCAGAUGGCGAACGCAGCUCGUCCUUAAGAGCAGGUGUCGCUUUCACAACAUCACGGCAUCUGUUUACUUAGGCCUCACGGUGUCAGGAGAUUUCAUGAGUUCGGUGCUGAAGUGUGGAGGACGGCUGUUGGUGCGUUCUGGGACCUCUGGGUGUCGUCGUCACUGCCAUCUAUCAGCUGCUUUCAA